rnacentral:rRNA from 1 species
ACUCAAAUGAAUUGACGGGGGCCCGCACAAGCGGUGGAGCAUGUGGUUUAAUUCGAUGCAACGCGAAGAACCUUACCUGCUCUUGACAUGUUCGGAAUUCUGCAGAGAUGUGGAAGUGCCUACGGGAACCGAAACACAGGUGCUGCAUGGCUGUCGUCAGCUCGUGUCGUGAGAUGUUGGGUUAAGUCCCGUAACGAGCGCAACCCCUAUUUCUACUUACCAGCACGUUAAGGUGGGGACUGUAGAGAGACUGCCGGUGACAAACCGGAGGAAGGCGGGGACGACGUCAAGUCAUCAUGGCCCAUAUGAGCAGGGCUACACACGUGCUACAAUGGGGCGUACAGAGGGAUGCAAAAUCGAGAGAUGAAGCGAAACUCACAAAGCGUCUCGUAGUCCGGAUUGGAGUCUGCAACUCGACUUCAUGAAGUUGGAAUCGCUAGUAAUCGCAGAUCAGAAUGCUGCGGUGAAUACGUUCCCGGGCCUUGUACACACCGCCCGU